UACGAAGGGGGCUAGCGUUGCUCGGAAUUACUGGGCGUAAAGGGCGCGUAGGCGGGCGUUUAAGUCAGGGGUGAAAUCCUGGAGCUCAACUCCAGAACUGCCUUUGAUACUGAAGAUCUUGAGUUCGGGAGAGGUGAGUGGAACUGCGAGUGUAGAGGUGAAAUUCGUAGAUAUUCGCAAGAACACCAGUGGCGAAGGCGGCUCACUGGCCCGAUACUGACGCUGAGGCACGAAAGCGUGGGGAGCAAACAGG
rnacentral:rRNA from 1 species